rnacentral:rRNA from 1 species
CCUGAGAAAUCCAAAAGUUCGAAUGGAGAGAUUCAGCGUCAGUGUUUGUUGGCUUGCGUGCGACUCGCGAUGUUUCGACGAUACGGUGUGAAUUUUUUUGCAUCAUAUCCCGGGACACGCGGUCGCUGCGUCAUGUUCCAACGACGCCGGCGUGCACUUCUCUCCUAGUAGGACGUCGCGACCCGUUGGGUUUGUGCCACGUCGGUCAUUGCGGGCCCGUACGGUAGACUGUUGAGCUCCGUGCUCGACAGACCAUCGGUGUAUUACCCGACCGACUGCCCGACGGUAUUGAAAACUAAAAAUCAUGAUUGGUAUCGAGCCGCAAUUUUGAAUGCGUUCGGCUUGUCGAUCGGUCAAGGAGUCUCGCUCGGUAAUGGACCUGGUGCCGUUGCCGUGGCGUUUGGCUCCUUCGAUCGUCAAUGUCCUCGAACAGGCUCGGAGCACGGGUUUCGCGCCCGUGCUUUUACCGGUCGGCGACGCUUUUGCUUUGGAUACUUUCAGG